rnacentral:rRNA from 1 species
CCUUUAGAUGUUCUGGGCUGCACGCGCGCUACACUGAAGCUAUCAACACGUUUUCCCUCCCUGAGAAGGGCGGGUAACCUUUUGAAUCAGCUUCGUGGUAGGGAUCGGGGCUUGCAAUUGUUCCCCGUGAACCAGGAAUUCCUAGUAGACGCGAGUCAUAAGCUCGCAUCGAUUAAGUCCCUGCCCUUUGUACACACCGCCCGUCGCUACUACCGAUUGAACGUUUUAGUGAGGCAUUUGGACCGACGCAUCUCAGUUUAACCGCUGGUUUGUGUUGGAAAGACUUCCAAACUUGAGCGUUUAGAGGAAGUAAAAGUCGUAACA